rnacentral:rRNA from 1 species
GAUGAACGCUGGCGGCGUGCUUAACACAUGCAAGUCGAACGGUGAACACGGAGCUUGCUCUGUGGGAUCAGUGGCGAACGGGUGAGUAACACGUGAGCAACCUGCCCCUGACUCUGGGAUAAGCGCUGGAAACGGCGUCUAAUACUGGAUAUGUGACGUGACCGCAUGGUCUGCGUUUGGAAAGAUUUUUCGGUUGGGGAUGGGCUCGCGGCCUAUCAGCUUGUUGGUGAGGUAAUGGCUCACCAAGGCGUCGACGGGUAGCCGGCCUGAGAGGGUGACCGGCCACACUGGGCCGGAGACACGGCCCAGACUCCUACGGGAGGCAGCAGUGGGGAAUAUUGCACAAUGGGCGCAAGCCUGAUGCAGCAACGCCGCGUGGGGGAUGACGGCCUUCGGGUUGUAAACCUCUUUUAGCAGGGAAGAAGCGAAAGUGACGGUACCUGCAGAAAAAGCGCCGGCUAACUACGUG